AGCCGGGAUAGCUCAGUUGGUAGAGCAGAGGACUGAAAAUC
rnacentral:tRNA from 1 species